GCUGUGGUUGUUUAGUGGUUAAAAUGUUUGACUUCUGCUUGGAAAGUCAGGAGUUCAAAUCCCAGCACUACCA